rnacentral:rRNA from 1 species
UACGAAGGGGGCUAGCGUUGCUCGGAAUCACUGGGCGUAAAGGGUGCGUAGGCGGGUCUUUAAGUCAGGGGUGAAAGCCCGGGGCUCAACUCCGGAAUUGCCUUUAAGACUGCAUCGCUAGAAUUGUGGAGAGGUAAGUGGAAUUCCGAGUGUAGAGGUGAAAUUCGUAGAUAUUCGGAAGAACACCAGUGGCGAAGGCGACUUACUGGACACAUAUUGACGCUGAGGUGCGAAAGCGUGGGGAGCAAACAGG